UCCCAAACUUCAGCUUCUACAAAAUUCUUUGUAUUGCUUUGCUUUAAAAAAAAACAAAACUAGCAAACUUAUCCGUACCUUGAAAUGAGAGAAAAAACUAUCACACGUUCAUAUGUCACGACAAUGUAAAUGGUGCAUGUAUAUUUAUGUUUUAUCCUUUCAUACAAUUUCAAAUCUAUAACCAUAAUACAAGUUAAUGUUGCCAAUAAUACGAGAAUGUCAUAUUAAGACUGCACCCAGUUAAAAUACAAUCAUUGUUGUUUUUUUUUCUUUCGUU
rnacentral:lncRNA from 1 species